CCACACUGGGACUGAGACACGGUCCAGACACCUACGGGUGGCAGCAGUCGAGAAUUUUUCUCAAUGGGGGCAACCCUGAAGGAGCGACGCCGCGUGGAGGAUGAAGGCUUUCGGGUUGUAAACUCCUGUCAUUUGGGAACAAGGUGCACACGUUAACUGCGUGGGUAUUGAUAGUACCAGAAGAGGAAGGGACGGCUAACUCUGUGCCAGCAGCCGCGGUAAUACAGAGGUCCCAAGCGUUGUUCGGAUUCAUUGGGCGUAAAGGGUGCGUAGGUGGCGCCGUAAGUCGGGUGUGAAAUUUCGGAGCUUAACUCCGAAACUGCAUUCGAUACUGCGGUGCUUGAGGACUGGAGAGGAGACUGGAAUUCAUGGUGUAGCAGUGAAAUGCGUAGAGAUCAUGAGGAAGACCAGUGGCGAAGGCGGGUCUCUGGACAGUUCCUGACACUGAGGCACGAAGGCCAGGGGAGCAAACGGGAUUAGAUACCCCGGUAGUCCUGGCAGUAAACGGUGCACGUUUGGUGUGGGGGGAUUCGACCCCUUCCGCGCCGGAGCUAACGCGUUAAACGUGCCGCCUGGGGAGUACGGUCGCAAGAUUAAAACUCAAAGGAAUUGACGG
rnacentral:rRNA from 1 species